UCCGUAGGUGGCGAGCGUUGUCCGGAUUUAUUGGGCGUAAAGAGCGCGCAGGCGGCCGUUCAAGUCGGGUGUGAAAGCCCCCGGCUCAACUGGGGAGGGUCACGCGAUACUGAUCGACUCGAAGGCAGGAGAGGGUAGUGGAAUUCCCGGUGUAGUGGUGAAAUGCGUAGAUAUCGGGAGGAACACCAGUGGCGAAGGCGACUACCUGGCCUGUUCUUGACGCUGAGGCGCGAAAGCUAGGGGAGCAAACGGG
rnacentral:rRNA from 1 species